GACAGAGGGUGCGAACGUUGUUCGGAAUUACUGGGCGUAAAGGGCGCGUAGGCGGGAUGGCAAGUCGGUCGUGAAAUCCCUCGGCUCAACCGAGGAACGUCGAUCGAUACUGCUGUUCUUGAGGAUUGCAGAGGAGACUGGAAUUCCCGGUGUAGCGGUGAAAUGUGUAGAGAUCGGGAGGAACACCGGUGGCGAAGGCGGGUCUCUGGGCAAUUCCUGACGCUGAGGCGCGAAAGCGUGGGGAGCAAACGGG
rnacentral:rRNA from 1 species